rnacentral:misc_RNA from 1 species
AAGUCGUAACAAGGUUUCCGUAGGUGAACCUGCGGAAGGAUCAUUCACAAUACUCGACAGCUUAGGCUGUUGUUUUAGACCCUAUUAACCAAAACAAACCGAGCUAUGUACAACCCUUUUUUUUUCUAAACAACCAAUAGCCUUUCGGGGCGAGUAAAACCACUCUUGUUCUGAACCGGGUGAGAAUCCCGGGAAUUAACAUUACAAUGUGAUAAUAAGUCCUUAUAUGGUGGAUUCCAUAUAGGCAUGUGUAGAAAUACGUAAAUAUAUACAACUCUUUGCAAUGGAUAUCUUGGUUCUC